UUUAAUACAUAUAAUAGGGUGAAAUCAUGAUACAUGUAGAUUUUAGUAUGGUCUUUUUCUCUUUUGUGGUUCAUGUUUCCAGCCGGGCAGCAUUUGCUGUUGUACGUCGCCUGUAGUGUAUCGUCCCUGCCGCACGUUCCCCCACGCGCGUUAAUUGUUCCAUCUCCGGUAAAGAAGUGAGCGGGACCCACUGAGCCCCACCAUGGAGCCGGACUCAUCCGACCCCAAUACGUCCAAAACCGACAUGCUGAGAGGAGUCAUCGCCGAGAAGCUCACCUUGGCCGCCCGGGAGAUCUUAGCGGUGGUGGAGAAGACUGUAGCCGAGUACGAGGAGGAGGCUGUGGGUUUCAGGCAGGAGAUUGACCGGCAGAGGAGACUGCUGGAGCUCCUGCAGCCUGAAGUCAAGUUGGAAGCGUUAGAAGACCAGCAGCAGUUUUCCCUCUGUGAGGCUGGAGGAGGUCAACUACCAGAAGAUCAGGAGCAGCACAAAUAUGAGCCAAGGGUGGAGGACAGCCAAAGCCUGGGAUUCUCAGGCUACAGUGAGGAACAAAUAGAGGAAGACGAACAUGAAGAAGAGGAAGAGGAGGAUGAUGACGAGGAGGAGGAGAUGGCACAGCAAUAUUAUGAAGCAGCACCACGGUUACAAGAUACAAAUACACUGCUCGUGCCUUCCACGGUUCAGACUGACAGGCGGAGAGCAGACAGACCUUGGAUCAGUGAAGCGCAGAGUUUCGUGGACCUCAGGAUCCGCAUCCUGGACUCGAUGAUCGACGUGCUUUCCAAGAGGGUGUUUCAGAAGUACCCGCUUCAUGAGCUGCAGUGUCGUCGUGGUCUUCAGGAGGCUGACUUCCUGCAUCUGCUGAGGUCAACCUUCCCCCAGCUGGCUGCUGAUGAACCUUUUGACGUUUUUAUAACUGACAACACCAGAAAGCUGCAGCCUCUGAAAAUAGACUUGUGGACUCCGGAGGCGAUCGAGAGGACCAUCAGGGCAAAUGGGAAUUCUGCCCUCUACAUCCGCCUGAAGAAUCAGCAGAGUUUAGAAGCUGAAGAGGAGCUUCAGCCAUUGCACGGAAAUAAAGCUGCUGCUGCUGAUGUGUCUUCUGCCCCUGACCAAAGCAUUGAUCACAUGAGGAAGAGGGUGGGCAGACCUGGGUUCAGGAAAACACAGACGCAUGUAAUGAUCAGAAUCCGCAUCCUGGGUAAAAUGAAAUCUGACGUGCUCUCAGCCAGAGGUGUGCCCAAAAAAACCUCCAGUUUGGUGUCUCUUUGGACAAACUGGGUCUCUUUGUAGUGCCUGUGACUUUGAAGU
rnacentral:lncRNA from 1 species